ACACGUGGGUAACCUGCCCUUAAGUGGGGGAUAACAUUUGGAAACAGAUGCUAAUACCGCAUAAAUCCAAGAACCGCAUGGUUCUUGGCUGAAAGAUGGCGUAAGCUAUCGCUUUUGGAUGGACCCGCGGCGUAUUAGCUAGUUGGUGAGGUAACGGCUCACCAAGGCAAUGAUACGUAGCCGAACUGAGAGGUUGAUCGGCCACAUUGGGACUGAGACACGGCCCAAACUCCUACGGGAGGCAGCAGUAGGGAAUCUUCCACAAUGGACGCAAGUCUGAUGGAGCAACGCCGCGUGAGUGAAGAAGGCUUUCGGGUCGUAAAACUCUGUUGUUGGAGAAGAAUGGUCGGCAGAGUAACUGUUGUCGGCGUGACGGUAUCCAACCAGAAAGCCACGGCUAACUACGUGCCAGCAGCCGCGGUAAUACGUAGGUGGCAAGCGUUAUCCGGAUUUAUUGGGCGUAAAGCGAGCGCAGGCGGUUUUUUAAGUCUGAUGUGAAAGCCCUCGGCUUAACCGAGGAAGUGCAUCGGAAACUGGGAAACUUGAGUGCAGAAGAGGACAGUGGAACUCCAUGUGUAGCGGUGAAAUGCGUAGAUAUAUGGAAGAACACCAGUGGCGAAGGCGGCUGUCUGGUCUGUAACUGACGCUGAGGCUCGAAAGCAUGGGUAGCGAACAGGAUUAGAUACCCUGGUAGUCCAUGCCGUAAACGAUGAAUGCUAGGUGUUGGAGGGUUUCCGCCCUUCAGUGCCGCAGCUAACGCAUUAAGCAUUCCGCCUGGGGAGUACGACCGCAAGGUUGAAACUCAAAGGAAUUGACGGGGGCCCGCACAAGCGGUGGAGCAUGUGGUUUAAUUCGAAGCAACGCGAAGAACCUUACCAGGUCUUGACAUCUUUUGAUCACCUGAGAGAUCAGGUUUCCCCUUCGGGGGCAAAAUGACAGGUGGUGCAUGGUUGUCGUCAGCUCGUGUCGUGAGAUGUUGGGUUAAGUCCCGCAACGAGCGCAACCCUUAUGACUAGUUGCCAGCAUUUAGUUGGGCACUCUAGUAAGACUGCCGGUGACAAACCGGAGGAAGGUGGGGAUGACGUCAAAUCAUCAUGCCCCUUAUGACCUGGGCUACACACGUGCUACAAUGGAUGGUACAACGAGUUGCGAGACCGCGAGGUCAAGCUAAUCUCUUAAAGCCAUUCUCAGUUCGGACUGUAGGCUGCAACUCGCCUACACGAAGUCGGAAUCGCUAGUAAUCGCGGAUCAGCACGCCGCGGUGAAUACGUUCCCGGGCCUUGUACACACCGCCCGUCACACCAUGAGAGUUUGUAACACCCGAAGCCGGUGGCGUAACCCUUUUAGGGAGCGAGCCGUCUAAGGUGGGACAAAUGAUUAGGGUG
rnacentral:rRNA from 1 species